UUGUAAGUGUUUAAUUUAGUGGUAGACAUCUUAUUGAAUUUGUGAAUUUACAGUAUCAAACUCAGUCACAAAAUCUUGCGACAUUUUUUUUUUUUAAUAACUAUGAGGUUUUAGCCUAAUCUCAUAUCUCCUCUCAACCCCAGACCAUAGCAUGUUAUAUGGUAUCUUUCCAAGCGCUACUCGAAUCAAAAACCUCUAGGCUAUUGUCAGAGAUCUUUACCAAUUAAGCUAUUGACACUUGGUCAUUCUUGCGAUAUUUUUCAGACAACUUUGAAACGCAUCAGCGACCAAAACGAUACACAAUCAUAAAGGAAUCGCAAAUUUAAGACUACCAAAAA
rnacentral:lncRNA from 1 species